GUGCAAGGGACAGUCAAACCGAAACUGGUCAGUCACUCCUCCCACAAACAACUCACAACUGAUAGCCUAUUAUAAUAGUAGUGAAACUAAACUUUUCAGUCGACGUUUGUCCAUCUGCGUAAUCUUCCCGUGUGUGUGAUCACAGCUAAGAUGACGAGAUGCAGGUUGUUAUCGCUGUGGUUUGCUCUCCUCGUUAUUUUGACAGAGAUGAUUUUCGCCCUCGUCGUUGAGGCAGCUGUUUUCAUCAAUUCCAAUGAAGUCACCAUAAGUCCCUUCAAUUUCUGUUCAAAGGGACAACACGGCAAAAUACUAUCUUGUCAAGCACUUAUAUCGACCACCUUAAUCGGAGCUUUUGAGACCAUGAUCAUAUCAAGAAUAGCUGUCAUGCUUUGUCUUUACGUCCCUGUGGUGCUUGUGCCAUUUGCUCUACUGAGCUCGCUGCUAUCAUACGGUGAAGAGGACUCCAGCGUGCUGCGUUUCAGCACGUUGUGCCAGGCUACCGCCAGCGCCCUCAGCCUACUGGGCCUGGUCUGGUUUGUCGGACUCCACUGGGCCUAUGCCAGUCAAUCAGCUAUGACCGUGUACUACUACUGCUGUGUUUUAGUAACCGUUGAGUUGGCCGUUACAACGUAUCUGAGUUCUGUGUUGGUGGUGAGGAAGCUCGAUCAACUACACAGUAAACAGAAAAAGGUUGGAGAAAAGCACAAACCCUAACCCUCAUUAGAAGGCAAGCUUUCAUGUACACCAUUCGAUUACUGUAUUCUCAUUUCAACUUCGUGAUGUUUUUGCACAGAAUUUCUAACACAUCGCUUCUCCUUUCUAUUAUGAUGCUUUACUGUAAAUAAAAAAUGUAUUAUGCAUUAUGUAUACCUUUGUGGGACAUUGAGUGACCAUCCUAUGCUGUUACAAUCUUGGAAUCUUUAUUGGCUCUCAUAGAAAUAAUAACAAUUAAGCUAAAGUACCAUUGCUUGUUAUUUCUCUAGUUCAGGACAAUAAUGUGAUUGCAGUGUUUGCAUCUGAAUGUUAACAAUAAAAAACUCCUGUCUAGGUUG